AUUGAACGCUGGCGGCAGGCCUAACACAUGCAAGUCGAACGGUAACAGGAAGCAGCUUGCUGCUUCGCUGACGAGUGGCGGACGGGUGAGUAAUGUCUGGGAAACUGCCUGAUGGAGGGGGAUAACUACUGGAAACGGUAGCUAAUACCGCAUAACGUCGCAAGACCAAAGAGGGGGACCUUAGGGCCUCUUGCCAUCGGAUGUGCCCAGAUGGGAUUAGCUAGUAGGUGGGGUAACGGCUCACCUAGGCGACGAUCCCUAGCUGGUCUGAGAGGAUGACCAGCCACACUGGAAGUGAGACACGGUCCAGACUCCUACGGGAGGCAGCAGUGGGGAAUAUUGGACAAUGGGCGCAAGCCUGAUGCAGCCAUGCCGCGUGUAUGAAGAAGGCCUUCGGGUUGUAAAGUACUUUCAGCGGGGAGGAAGGGAGUAAAGUUAAUACCUUUGCUCAUUGACGUUACCCGCAGAAGAAGCACCGGCUAACUCCGUG
rnacentral:rRNA from 1 species